ACACGUGAAACCCUGUGGGAAGCAGGAGGGACCACCCUCCAAGGCUAAAUACUACCUAGUGACCGAUAGCGUAUAGUACCGUGAGGGAAAGGUGAAAAGAACCCCGGGAGGGGAGUGAAAUAGAACCUGAAACCCUGCACUUACAAGCUGUGGAAGCACAUUUCUUGUGUGACCGCGUACUUUUUGUAGAACGGGCCAACGAGUUACGUU
rnacentral:rRNA from 1 species